rnacentral:rRNA from 1 species
UACGAAGGGGGCUAGCGUUGCUCGGAAUUACUGGGCGUAAAGGGCGCGUAGGCGGUCAGCUUAGUCAGAGGUGAAAGCCCAGGGCUCAACCUUGGAAUUGCCUUUGAUACUGGCUAUCUUGAGUUCGGGAGAGGGGAGUGGAAUGCCGAGUGUAGAGGUGAAAUUCGUAGAUAUUCGGCGGAACACCAGUGGCGAAGGCGACUCACUGGCCCGAUACUGACGCUGAGGCGCGAAAGCGUGGGGAGCAAACAGG